CACCAGUCAACAAAGCGAAGUACAAAAGGGGAUAUCUCCUUGAAUGAUGAAGACAAUCAACCCUGCACAGGACCUGCUCAUGGAAAGAUGACUCCCCACCAGAAGAAUGUUGCUGAUAGCCAGAAGCCAGGGCAGAGGAAGUCAGAAUGUGUCUCAGAAGCUGCUGAGGAAUUAUGACCUCAUCCUCGGAAUGUUGGGCAUCGUUUCCAUGGGAACUGGAAGACCCUAAGCAGCC